UACGUAGGGGGCUAGCGUUGUCCGGAAUCAUUGGGCGUAAAGAGCGUGUAGGCGGUCCGGUAAGUCCGCUGUGAAAGUCGGGGGCUCAACCCUCGAAUGCCGGUGGAUACUGUCGGGCUAGAGUGCGGAAGAGGCGAGUGGAAUUCCUGGUGUAGCGGUGAAAUGCGCAGAUAUCAGGAGGAACACCUAUUGCGAAGGCAGCUCGCCGGGACGUUACUGACGCUGAGACGCGAAAGCGUGGGGAGCGAACAGG
rnacentral:rRNA from 1 species